GGGCCUUGGUAGCGCAGCUAACGCGUGAAGUUGACCGCCUGGGGAGUACGGUCGCAAGAUUAAAACUCAAAGGAAUUGACGGGGACCCGCACAAGCGGUGGAUGAUGUGGAUUAAUUCGAUGCAACGCGAAAAACCUUACCUACCCUUGACAUGUCUGGAAUGCCGAAGAGAUUUGGCAGUGCUCGCAAGAGAACCGGAACACAGGUGCUGCAUGGCUGUCGUCAGCUCGUGUCGUGAGAUGUUGGGUUAAGUCCCGCAACGAGCGCAACCCUUGUCAUUAGUUGCUACGAAAGGGCACUCUAAUGAGACUGCCGGUGACAAACCGGAGGAAGGUGGGGAUGACGUCAAGUCCUCAUGGCCCUUAUGGGUAGGGCUUCACACGUCAUACAAUGGUCGGGACAGAGGGUCGCCAACCCGCGAGGGGGAGCCAAUCCCAGAAACCCGAUCGUAGUCCGGAUCGCAGUCUGCAACUCGACUGCGUGAAGUCGGAAUCGCUAGUAAUCGCGGAUCAGCAUGUC
rnacentral:rRNA from 1 species